UGCCCCCCAGGUAGACCUAUUGUUUCCAGUCGUAAUUCCAUUCUUAACAAUAUCUCUGUCUUCCUAGAUCAGGUCUUGCGUCAUUUUGCAGUUGGAGCUAAAUCGUACAUUCAAGAUACCACUGAUUUUGUGGUGAAGAUUCGUGACCUGGUGGUUCCCUCUAACUCCAUACUGGAGUCCUUCGACAUUAUAAGAUUCAGUUUUUGGACACCUUGGUAACACGACAAGACAACAGAUUACACACGGAUUUAUUUGUCAAGGACACUGACUGUAAUACUCUAUUACAAUAUACCAGCUGUCAUCCCAGACAUAUGAUCUGUUCACACUGCAGUGAGAGUCUCCAUGGGCAAAAAGAAACCAACCACAACAGAACCUGAUAUUGUACCUCACUUGUGACCCUGCUGUCCUUGAUCUCUCCGCUUUAUAAUUAGGCAGGUUGGCUGAAUUUGGUGAGAAUUUUAAGAAAUUUGUCAAUGACAAGGCUCCAUUCUGUAUAAUUCCAAUAUCCCUUUGGGGAAAACCCCCUCAGAGACAAAAAGCCCUUUCACUUAGGGAUUCAUUAAAACAUAACUUUUAUUGUAAUAAUGUAAAA